rnacentral:lncRNA from 1 species
CGGUCUCCAGGGUUCCUGGACUUCCCGCUCUUUGUGCUGGGCAGGGAAGGAAAGUGAGCCCUGGGGGUAGAGGGCAGAGGUGGGGUCAAAGUUACUUUCCUGCCACCACCCCUGUCUGUCCUGGGAGCUGCAGUUACUGCAGUGUGUGUGUGAGUUUGUAGCAGGGUGGGAGAGGAGAGAAGGGAGGUGGAGGGGCUGCACCUGGAGUGAGGACUGUAUCUGUGUGUGCAAGCCGGGGCGACAGACGGCCUGGCACACUGAAGUCAGGUGCCGGGACCCAUGGGGCCUGCUGACUCAUGGGGACACCACUGGAUGGGAAUCCUGCUUUCAGCCUCGCUUUGUACCGUAUGGAGUCCUCCAGCUGCAGCCCAGCUCACCCUCAAUGCCAACCCACUUGAUGCCACCCAAAGUGAGGAUGUUGUUCUGCCUGUGUUUGGGACCCCCAGGACACCCCAGAUUCAUGGCAGAUCCAGAGAGCUGGCCAAACCCUCCAUUGCAGUCAGCCCAGGCACUGCCAUAGAGCAGAAGGACAUGGUGACCUUCUACUGCACCACUAAGGACGUCAACAUUACCAUCCACUGGGUUUCCAACAACCUCUCCAUUGUGUUCCAUGAGCGCAUGCAGCUGUCCAAGGAUGGCAAGAUCCUCACCAUUCUCAUUGUCCAGCGGGAGGACUCAGGGACUUACCAAUGUGAAGCUCGAGAUGCCCUUCUGAGCCAGAGGAGCGACCCCAUCUUCCUGGAUGUGAAGUAUGGUCCUGAUCCUGUUGAAAUCAAAUUGGAGUCUGGUGUUGCCAGUGGGGAGGUGGUUGAGGUGAUGGAGGGCUCCAGCAUGACCUUCUUAGCGGAAACAAAGUCUCACCCACCCUGUGCCUAUACUUGGUUUCUCCUUGACUCCAUUCUGUCUCACACCACGAGAACAUUCACCAUCCAUGCUGUGUCCAGAGAACAUGAGGGCCUGUACAGGUGCUUGGUGUCCAACAGUGCCACCCACCUGUCCAGCCUGGGUACUCUGAAGGUCCGAGUACUUGAAACACUGACCAUGCCUCAAGUCGUGCCUUCAAGCCUGAACCUUGUGGAGAAUGCUAGGUCUGUGGACCUGACCUGCCAAACCGUCAAUCAGAGUGUGAAUGUCCAGUGGUUCCUAAGUGGCCAGCCCCUCCUGCCCAGUGAGCACCUGCAGCUGUCAGCUGACAACAGGACCCUAAUCAUCCAUGGCCUCCAGCGGAAUGACACCGGGCCCUAUGCCUGUGAGGUCUGGAACUGGGGCAGCCGGGCCCGGAGUGAGCCCCUUGAGCUGACCAUCAACUAUGGUCCUGACCAAGUGCACAUCACCAGGGAGUCGGCAUCUGAGAUGAUCAGCACCAUAGAGGCAGAGCUCAACUCCAGCCUGACCCUGCAGUGUUGGGCCGAGUCCAAGCCAGGUGCUGAGUAUCGCUGGACUCUUGAACACUCCACCGGGGAGCACCUGGGUGAGCAGCUGAUUAUCAGGGCUCUGACCUGGGAACACGACGGGAUCUACAACUGCACAGCCUCCAACUCUCUCACUGGCCUGGCCCGCUCCACUUCAGUCCUGGUCAAGGUGGUAGGUCCCCAGUCCUCCUCCCUGUCCUCAGGGGCCAUCGCUGGUAUUGUCAUCGGGAUCCUGGCUGUCAUUGCUGUGGCCUCAGAACUGGGCUAUUUUCUCUGCAUCAGAAAUGCCAGACGGCCCUCAAGGAAAACAACAGAGGACCCCAGUCAUGAGACCUCACAACCCAUCCCGAAGGAGGAGCACCCCACAGAGCCCAGUUCCGAAAGCCUGAGUCCUGAGUAUCGCAAUAUAUCCCAGCUUCAGGGACGGAUCAGAGUCGAACUGAUGCAACCACCAGACCUUCCAGAGGAGACCUAUGAGACGAAGCUGCCUUCAGCAAGCCGUAGAGGCAAUUCUUUCAGCCCCUGGAAGCCACCACCCAAACCUCUGAUGCCCCCACUCAGAUUGGUCUCCACUGUGCCAAAAAACAUGGAGUCAAUCUAUGAGGUAUUUAUGCCACACUGA